rnacentral:rRNA from 1 species
GACGAACGCUGGCGGCGUGCUUAACACAUGCAAGUCGAACGGAAAGGCCCUGCUUGCAGGGUACUCGAGUGGCGAACGGGUGAGUAACACGUGGGUGAUCUGCCCUGCACUUCGGGAUAAGCCUGGGAAACUGGGUCUAAUACCGGAUAGGAGCCAUAUUGAGUGUGAUGGUUGGAAAGUUUUUUCGGUGUAGGAUGAGCUCGCGGCCUAUCAGCUUGUUGGUGGGGUAAUGGCCUACCAAGGCGGCGACGGGUAGCCGGCCUGAGGGGGUGGACGGCGACAUUGGGACUGAGGUGCGGCCCAGACUCCUACGGGUGGCAGCUGUGGGGAAUCUUGCACAAUGGGCGCAAGCCUGAUGCAGCGACGCCGCGUGGGGGAUGACGGCCUUCUGGUUGUAAACUCCUUUCGCUAGGGACGAAGCUUUUUGUGACGGUACCUAGAUAAGAAGCACCGGCUAACUACGUG